GCUACGGGAGGCUGCAGUGAGGAAUAUUGGUCAAUGGACGAGAGUCUGAACCAGCCAAGUAGCGUGAAGGAUGACUGCCCUAUGGGUUGUAAACUUCUUUUAUAAAGGAAUAAAACGAGGCACGUGUGCCUUUUUGCAUGUACUUUAUGAAUAAGGAUCGGCUAACUCCGUGCCAGCAGCCGCGGUAAUACGGAGGAUCCGAGCGUUAUCCGGAUUUAUUUGGUUUAAAGGGAGCGUAGAUGGGUUGUUAAGUCAGUUGUGAAAGUUUGCGGCUCAACCGUAAAAUUGCAAUUGAUACUGGCAGUCUUGAUUACAGUUGAGGUAGGCGGAAUUCGUGGUGUAGCGGUGAAAUGCUUAGAUAUCACGAAGAACCCCGAUUGCGAAGGCAGCUUACUAAACUGUGACUGACAUUGAUGCUCGAAAGUGUGGGUAUCAAACAGGAUUAGAUACCCUAGUAGUC
rnacentral:rRNA from 1 species